CGUAGGGUGCGAGCGUUAAUCGGAAUUACUGGGCGUAAAGCGUGCGCAGGCGGUUUUGUAAGACAGGCGUGAAAUCCCCGGGCUCAACCUGGGAACUGCGCUUGUGACUGCAAGGCUAGAGUACGGCAGAGGGGGGUGGAAUUCCACGUGUAGCAGUGAAAUGCGUAGAGAUGUGGAGGAACACCAAUGGCGAAGGCAGCCCCCUGGGUCGAUACUGACGCUCAUGCACGAAAGCGUGGGUAGCAAACGGGAUUAGAUACCCUGGUAGUCCACGCCCUAAACGAUGUCAACUAGGUGUUGGGUGGGUAAAACCAUUUAGUACCGGAGCUAACGCGUGAAGUUGACCGCCUGGGGAGUACGGCCGCAAGGUUA
rnacentral:rRNA from 1 species